rnacentral:rRNA from 1 species
AGACUUUUCGUUGUAGCAAUACGAUGGAAAGUUUAGUGGCGAACGGGUGCUUAACACGUGGGCAACCUGCCAAGAAGUGGGGGAUAGCUCGCCGAAAGGCGAAUUAAUACCGCAUGUGAUUAGAGAGGACAUCCUUUCGAAAUUAAAAGUGGCGCAAGCUACUGCUUCUUGUGGGGCCCGCGGCCUAUCAGCUAGUUGGUGAGGUAACGGCCCACCAAGGCUUUGACGGGUAGCUGGUCUGAGAGGACGACCAGCCACACUGGGACUGAGACACGGCCCAGACACCUACGGGUGGCAGCAGUCGAGAAUUUUUGACAAUGGGGGAAACCCUGAUCGAGCGACGCCGCGUGGAGGAUGAAGGUCUUCGGAUUGUAAACUCCUGUCAUUGGGGAACAAUGUCCCGCUUUUGACUGAGGCGGGAUUGAUAGUACCCGAAGAGGAAGGGACGGCUAACUCUGUGCCAGCAGCCGCGGUAAUACAGAGGUCUCAAGCGUUGUUCGGAUUCAUUGGGCGUAAAGGGUGCGUAGGCGGCGCGGUAAGUCGGGUGUGAAAUCUCGGGGCUUAACUCCGAAACUGCAUUCGAUACUGCCGUGCUUGAGGACUGGAGAGGAGACUGGAAUUUACGGUGUAGCGGUGAAAUGCGUAGAUAUCGUAAGGAAGACCAGUGGCGAAGGCGGGUCUCUGGACAGUUCCUGACGCUGAGGCACGAAGGUCAGGGGAGCAAACGGGAUUAGAUACCCCGGUAGUCCUGACAGUAAACGGUGCACGUUUGGUGUGGGAGGAUUCGA